UGCGAGGCUAAACCGGUACUGCCAGGCGAAUUCCGCAGACGAUCUCUGGGCUCAUAACCCAGAGGUCGCAGGUUCAAAUCCUGUCCCCGCAA
rnacentral:tRNA from 1 species